GUCGGGAAAGAUUCAUCGGUAUGGGAUGGGGUCGCGUCCUAUCAGCUUGAUGGCGGGGUAACGGCCCACCAUGGCUUCGACGGGUAGCCGGCCUGAGAGGGCGACCGGCCACAUUGGGACUGAGAUACGGCCCAGACUCCUACGGGAGGCAGCAGUGGGGAAUAUUGCACAAUGGGCGCAAGCCUGAUGCAGCGACGCCGCGUGCGGGAUGACGGCCUUCGGGUUGUAAACCGCUUUUGACUGGGAGCAAGCCCUUCGGGGUGAGUGUACCUUUCGAAUAAGCACCGGCUAACUACGUGCCAGCAGCCGCGGUAAUACGUAGGGUGCAAGCGUUAUCCGGAAUUAUUGGGCGUAAAGGGCUCGUAGGCGGUUCGUCGCGUCCGGUGUGAAAGUCCAUCGCUUAACGGUGGAUCCGCGCCGGGUACGGGCGGG
rnacentral:rRNA from 1 species